UUACCGUUGUACAUCAGGUAACGAAGGAAAUCCCUUCCUCUAGUUUCUACCCUUAUUCUCAGGAAUAGUGGGUACAAUUUGGGGGCCCCCGGUGGUUAAUAAGAAGAAGGGUUGGUCGUCGGUAAGUCCAUUUUCCCCGAAUAUCCUGGGCUCCCCGCGGGCUUCAAAUGGUAAGACAAUUGGGUUUCACUUCGAAAAGGAAGAGCCAUUUUCUAAACCUUUCCUUAGUUAGGAUUGAGGGCUGAAACUCGCCCUCAUGAAUAUGGAAUCCUAGUAAUCG
rnacentral:rRNA from 1 species